GAUCAUUACUGAGAAACUGCCCUCUGGGUAGACCUCACACCCUUGUAUACUAUACCAUGUUGCUUUGGCGGGCCACCGGGCUCACGCCUGGUACCGGCUCACGCUGGCCAGCGCCCGCCAGAGGUUCCAAAUUCUGAAUCUUUAAUGUGUCAAAUUACAAAAUUAAAUUUUUGAAAACUUUCAACAACGGAUCUCUUGGUUCUGGCAUCGAUGAAGAACGCAGCGAAAUGCGAUAAGUAAUGUGAAUUGCAGAAUUCAGUGAAUCAUCGAAUCUUUGAACGCACAUUGCACCCUAUGGUAUUCCGUAGGGUAUGCCUGUUCGAGCGUCAUUAUAACCCCCCUCUAGCGGAUGCUAGGUAUUGGGCUUCACCGGUUGGUGGGCCUGAAAUUCUGACAGCAGCGCGAUCGUGCCCUGAGCGUAGUAAUAUUUCUCGCUGUGGGAGCCGGUGGCGAGCGCUGUAUAAGCCCUUCUCUAGGUUGACCUCGGAUCAGGUAGGGAUACCCGCUGAACUUAAGCAUAUCAAUAAGCGGAGGAAAAGAAACCAACAGGGAUUGCCUCAGUAAUGGCGAGUGAAGCGGCAACAGCUCAAAUUUGAAAUCUGGUACCUUUGGUGCCCGAAUUGUAAUUUGUAGAAGAUGCUUUGAGCAUCGAUCGGGUCUAAGUUCGUUGGAACACGAUGUCAUAGAGGGUGAGAAUCCCGUAUGCGAUCCAGAUCGUUUGUUCGUGUAAAGCUCUUUCGACGAGUCGAGUUGUUUGGGAAUGCAGCUCAAAAUGGGUGGUAUAUUUCAUCUAAAGCUAAAUAUUGGCCAGAGACCGAUAGCGCACAAGUAGAGUGAUCGAAAGAUGAAAAGCACUUUGGAAAGAGAGUCAAAUAGUACGUGAAAUUGUUGAAAGGGAAGCGCUUGCAACCAGACUCGCAUGCUGCUGAUCACCCGGUGUUCUCACCGGUGCACUCGGUAGUUUACGGGCCAGCAUCAGUUCUGGUGGUGGGAUAAAGGCCGUAGGAACGUGGCUCUUCGGAGUGUUAUAGCCUACGGUGCAAUGCCGCCUACCGGGACUGAGGACCGCGC
rnacentral:rRNA from 1 species